AGCGAACGCUGGCGGCAGGCUUAACACAUGCAAGUCGAGCGGGCACUUUCGGGUGUCAGCGGCGGACGGGUGCGGAACGCGUGGGAACGUGCCCUCUGGUUCGGAAUAACUCAGGGAAACUUGAGCUAAUACCGGAUACGCCCGUUUGGGGAAAGGCUUGCUGCCGGAGGAUCGGCCCGCGUCUGAUUAGCUAGUUGGUGAGGUAACGGCUCACCAAGGCGACGAUCAGUAGCUGGUCUGAGAGGAUGAUCAGCCACACUGGGGCUGAGACACGGCCCAGACUCCUACGGGAGGCAGCAGUGGGGAAUAUUGGACACUGGGCGCAAGCCUGAUCCAGCCAUGCCGCGUGAGUGAUGAAGGCCUUAGGGUUGUAAAGCUCUUUUAUCCGGGACGAUAAUGACGUUACCGGAGGAAUAAGCCCCGGCUAACUUCGUG
rnacentral:rRNA from 1 species